rfam:Geobacillus caldoxylosilyticus NBRC 107762 DNA, contig: GCA01S005.
CAUCCCUUUUAAGCGCAGUCCCGCGAGGCUGCAAAAGGGACAGAAUAGGCGAAGACUAUCUCUGUACCCUCUUUGCACCCUCAAGGGCAAAGAGGGUUUUUUAU